GGGAGACCAACAAAGGAGAAAUUUUUCUUGGAUGCAAAAGUUGUUUCUUCUGCAUUUCAAAUAUAAGAUUUAUCAGGCAUUUCUUUUCUUUACCUAUUUUUUAUGUAUCCAGGAAAAGACCAUCACACACUACCACCCUAAAUUCGCGCUUACUUUGGUAAGCAUCCCAAGUUAUACAGGAACUAAGGGAAGACUGAUCAGACAAUUAUCUAAUUCAGAUAGUCAGCCAAGGCCUCAAAGACAAAUCUAUGAAACUUUGUAAAACACAGGAGAAAAUCACAAGGGAAACACAAUCAAGGACAGAAUAAAUCAAGGAGGAGUGAGAAUGGGUCAUAUAAGGCCUGCAAAAUCAUUUGGUCUGACCUCGCCAAGGCAAAUGAAGGCAAUGAAGAGCUGAAAGCUCGGAUAAUGACCUCCCACUGCUUAAAUUCUACAAGUUGAUUUUAUUGUAUGAUCCACAAAUGAUGUUAUAAAAUAUCCAAAAGGC